rnacentral:rRNA from 1 species
AUGAAUCUACCAAUGCAGUUAAUGGAUGUAGUGACUGCUUAUCUAUAUGGGUCACUCGAUGCGGAAAUUUAUAUGAAAGUGCCUGAUGGACUUAAAAUUCCGAAUCCAAAUAUAAAUCAUAACAUGUAUUGUGUAAAACUACAAAAGUCACUCUAUGGCUUGAAGCAGUCGGGUAAAAUGUGGUAUAACCGACUCAGUGAGUUCCUUCUCGGUAAAGGGUACUCGAAUAACAAUGAUUGCCCAUGCGUAUUUAUAAAGAAAUACUCAAAGGGAUUUUGCAUCAUCUCAGUAUAUGUUGAUGAUCUCAACAUCAUUGGCAACACAUCAGAUAUAACUGUAGCACGCAAUCAUUUAAUGACGGAGUUUGAGAUGAAAGAUUUGGGAAGAACCAAAUUCUGCUUAGGUAUACAAACUUGA